rnacentral:lncRNA from 1 species
GUGUUGUUUCAUGAGCCGAGGGAAUUAAAAUCUAAUAUCAACAAGGAGUUUAAGCCGAGAGGAGUUGCUGCCCGUGCGAUCAAACUCUCUUUUCCAUUCAGAUCAAAAGGAGUUCAUAGGUAAACUGUCUCAGACUUUAAAACUACUUAGAGGUCGAGUUUAAUGUAAUUAAACUCGAACAAUACAAGAGAGAACCGAUCGCAUAUACCUUAAUAUGUGAUCAUAGAAAUCAAAACCUAACCAACUAUGAAUACAUAAUUCGAUUUAUAUCCUUAUAAAUCAUAUAUUAUAUGUUUAAAACUUAGUAAAACAUGGUCAUAAGUUUUAAACCUAAGAACUAAUCUAAACCUAAAAUCGCAUGACAUGAAAAUCGAAUGUCAUGCUUAAAACCGAAAAUUGUAUAAACCUAUACUAUCUAAUAUGAUUCUAAUAAUUCUAAAACCUGAAUCAUAUACCUAAAACUAUAGUUUCAGAUCUGAUUAUGUCAAUAAUCAGAUCGCAUACUUGGUAUGCUUGAAAAACCGAUUCCUAAACAUCUAAAACCUAAUUUGCUUAAACCUAAAAAUCGCAUAGCUUUAAAAUUAAAACCCCCUUGAUGAAAACUUUCUAAAACUUGUUUUCACAUGCUGUUUAAAGCUUUAAAAUCUGAUUGUUUGUUUAAGAAAAUCUGAUUGCAUGUUUUUAAAAUUAGAAAUCGCAUGCUAGGCAUAAAAUUGCAAAUCACAUGAUUAAUUGAAAUUUUAUUUGUUUGACCACCUAAUCACAUGCUAGGAUUAUUAAAACUUUAUUGUAUGAUCUGUUUGUUAAUAGAAAUUGCAUGUUUUUAGGUUUGCAAAUCAUAUGCUAAACAUUAAAAUCAAAAUCGCAUGCUAGACAUAGAAAAUUAAAUCGCAUGUUUAGGUUUAAAAUCUGAUUUUGUUAAUCACAUGAUAGGAUUGAUAAAACCUAAUUGUUUGAUCUGAUCUCUAAUAGAAAUUACAUGUUUUAAUUUUAGAAAUCAAAACAUAAACAUUAAAACUGAAAUUGCAUGCUAAAACCUAGAACCCUUAAAAAAAAUAAAAAAUAUAUGAAGGUUGUUACAAGGUUGUUACAAAGUUAUUAGAGUUUUUGUCUUGGCCGAUUUUAUGCUUGUAUAAAUUGAUAUUUUUCAUGCAUAAAUACAUGUUUGAGGUUGCAUAAUUAGACUAAGAAUAAUUACAUGUUCUUGUGUCUAAAUCCUAUUAGAAUUAGGAUUUGAAGUUUAACCUAAAAUCUGAUCGCAUGUUUAUUGGAAUUUCCUGAAAAUUUAAAACUUAAUAAAUUUAAAUUAGAAUUCCAGAAUUUGAUCAUAUGAAACCUAGGGAUAAAAUUUCAUGAUUAGAUUGAAAUUAUUCAUAUGCUAAUUGAUUAAAAAUCGAUUAUACCUAGAAAAAUUGAAAUCGCAUGAUUAAAUCCUAUUAGAAAUAGAAAUUGCCUUGGUCACAUGCUAUUGAUUGAAAUCUGAUUUGGUUGCUUGAUCACAUGAUAUGUUUAAAAUCUGAAUCGUAUGUCUUAACAAAAUCUGAUUCGCAUGUUUCAAACCUAAAAUCUGAUUUGUUUGAUCGCCUAGCUCGCAUGCUAAGAAAUUAAAAUCUGGAUUGAUUGUUAAAGAUAAAAUCCGAUUGCAUGCAGCAUAGAACCUAGAUUUAAUUUGCUCAGUCACAUGCUCACAUGAUCCAAAUCUGAUUUGCUAGCUGAUUACUUGUUUGAAAAUGAUGCCUUGCUUGUUUGAAAUAUAGAGAUUUCAUGAAAUCCUAUUCGCAUGAUUAAAAGCUUGGCCGUAGGAUCAAAACUUCAUCAUAUGCUAAACUUGAUUCGAUUACAUUCCCUGGCCUAUAUGUGUUUUUAAACCUUGAAUCAUAUGCUGAAAAAUCUAGCAAAUCCGAAACACAUAACCAAAUCCUAAAACUGUUUGGAUUUGGCUUGGCCAAGACUAUAGAUGUUCAUAUGAACAAUUGUAGGAUCGUUUCUCAAAGCCUUGGCCAAAUGAAAUCUUAGCCAAAUUUUAAGACAUGAUCACUUGUUUAAAACUUAAAAUCUGAUCAUAAAAUUACUCCUUGGCCGAUAUCUAUAAGAAUCCUAGAACCAUUCGGAUUUGGCCUGGCCGAAACUUAUGUUUGGCCUAAUGAACAAUCGCAUGAUAUGUGGGAACCGAAAUUCACACCGUCGAAUUUUGUUAAUCGGAGGAAAGCCAAGUUAACAUAGCCUUCCCUGAAGGUCCCGGUUAUCUGCUGGGCCACGCACAACACAAUCAAUAUGAAAGAUUCGAAAGUAAUAAAUCGUAAAAGAGCAAAAAGAGAACAAACAAGUCUUAUUUCCGAAAUCGCGUUUGAGCGUGAACAACAGGUAAGAUCCUAGGCCACGAGAGCUGUCGGUAUGUUCGCUAGUCUAGCCACCUAAGUUCUAACCUAGUCGAGUCGCAGCUCGAUAGUAAAAACGGAAAAAUGCCUAAAUUGCUCUAAGUAUUAAGUUUGCUCUGGUCCCUCCUCUCUUCGUCCUAGGUCCUCCUUAUAUACUCCUCCUUAGGUCGGUUUCCUUCUUCUUGGGCCAGAUUUGUCGCGAAGCAGGUUUUUCCAUAUUUCCUUCUUCUUUGUGAUUAUCUUAGGAAAUUUGACAUUUAUCUCUUCCCGUGGACGAGAUAAACCGUCAUACCAGUCUUUGGGUUCAAGUCUUUUGGGACCAUAGAUGGGCCGUUGUCCGCAAUUCGGACCCUCUUUGGGCCAUAUCGAGACUUAAGCAUUUUUACGAUUUUACUCGCGAAGUAGCCGUUGGUAUAGGCAUGGUUCUUCCAACGGAACCCUGUUUCUUCGCAUAGCCGAGGCAGCUGGUGUUAAGUAAACCGUAACCUGCUCUACUACGAAGAAUAGGAAACCGUUCGAGAGACAUAACCUUCCCAACUUCCCGAAUAUUUUUGACGAUGUUUUUUAGACGGAACAUUGGUGUCGUAUCCAUGGACCCGAAGACUGAGUUACGAAAACUUCGGACGAAUAUGCAUGGUUAUGGGAUGGGACCGGGUUCGGAAUGGUCCACGGAGAAUUGGCCGCGCUCGCCGGGCGAGCUGAGCUGUGCCAAGAUCGAGCUCGCCGGCGNNNNNNNNNNNNNNNNNNNNNNNNNNNNNNNNNNNCGCGCGCGGCGGCGGCCCGACCGGCAACACGGUCGUGCUCGCCGGGCGAGCUGGCUCGUGUCAUGAUCGAGCUCGCCGGGCGAUCCGUUUUGGCUGUUUGUUUUCUCGGGUUUUGAAGUUUUGACCGAGAUUCGGUUUUUCUGAGGACUUUCGGACAUCGAUUCCGUCGUGAUCGAUUUUGACCCCAACAGUUAGCCCCCCAGCUAGCUAGGAUCCGUGGACCUGGAUGUUAGGUCCUAGCUUGCGGUAUGGUCUGCUCUAGGUGGAAUUUAGACGUAAUCGUUUGUCGAAAGAUCGAAGGUGAAUAGUAAAGAAGAAAAAAAAUUGUAUAAGUAAGGGAAGUAAGUUUUUCAAAUUCUUUACUCACUUCUUCCCUUAAGAAAAGAUUCCUCCAAGAUAGAAUUUUUUUCUCCAAGAUCUCUCUUUUCUCAUAGGAAAUGUCUUCAAGAAAAAGAUCUUCAAAGAGGAAUUCUUCCUCACACUCAUCUUCGGGUGACUCUUCUGCCAAUGAGGUGAUCGCCCCGAAAGAAGAGUUUGAAGUUGAGGAAGAAGCAAAGGAUGCGUACUACAAAGCUCUUUGCGGCUCGCCUCCGCCUUCGCAAGACAUUUCGAUUCCUAAGAGGCCCAUGAGGUCGCCAAACGCACCCCUUACGCCGAGCAUGGUCUCUCCCGACUACCUCACGACUCUCGGGGGCUUUUACCAGAUUCCAAGUGGAGUCGUAUUUUGGAUCCCGAGUGGCAACGAGAGUGCGAAGAACCCUCCGGAAGGUUUCUUUACUUGCUACGAGGCCUCCCUGGUGUAUUGCCGCAUGUGGUUUCCGAUCCCUGGUACCAUCGUCUGCGCGCUUCACCACUUUGGGCUUUCGAUCAGCCAACUAAGCGUUCUGGCCUUGCAGCAUUGGCUCGGCGUGUUGAUCUCGAGUUACAAGCUAGGAAUGGAUCUUAACCCUGGCGACUUCGAGGGAUUUUGGUUUACCAGAGGAACGGGGAUCGAUGGCUCAUACCGCAUGGCGCCAAAGAAGGGUAUGACUAUAAUUCAGGGGCACACUUCACAUCCUAAGACAUGGUUCGAGCGCUUUUUCUUUGUCCGGAUAGAUGGGGAGUCUGUCGAGGAGAGCUACCUCCACCUAUUCCGUCGGGAGUGGAACUUCACCCGUGGUAAUACGAAUAGCCAUAUUUUUUGAUUUGAUACCCAGAAAACAUGCGAAUAUGAUUUUCUUAUUAUCUUGCAGUGAACAGGAUCCUUCCGCCGACUCCUGCCGAUCUUUUUGCCAAGCGAGAUCUUCUCCGCAGCAGGCCGUUCUUCUGGAAGUCUUUCACCGUCGAACGGAUUCAAAGCGCGGUGGAUCUCCAUCGAUCUCGAGCCGUAUCUCAGCCUCUGGACGUUCCGUAUGACGUAGAACCGACCAUUGAUGUCUUGCCUGCUCAGAGGCAGAGAAUCAGGUCUCAGAAAGGCAAGGGAGUUGCCUCCGAGAACGUCUUGGGAAACCUUCCGCUGCCAGAAUGGAACCCUAGUUUCUCCCCAGGGGAAAGGAGUGGAACCAGCAAGGUUCCCCCUCCCAGCGACUUUUUUGCCGACCUCCCUCCCGGUUUUAAUACUCAUAAGUCGCUGGACGAAGAGUCGAGCAUGAAAGUAGUCGCCGAAGGCUCCAGCUUAAUCAACGAGGUUUAUCCUUUGAAAUUUGAUAUAUAUAUAUUUUUUUUGUUUCCCUUUCCGAUCUUAAGUUUGUGCAGGGGAUGAGGGUGUUCAAUGCAGCGCUCGACGGAAGUUUCCGGGUGUCGCGUAUCUCUCACUUCAAAGCCGAGGAGGCUGAAACAGAACUCUUUCGGUUUCGAAAGAAGGUCGAAGAACAUAGCCGAAGACAUGCUGAGCUCCAUUCUCGGGUCCUUGUCUGUGCGGAGAGGAGAGGAAAGAGAGCGAUUGUCGCCGAAAUGAAGCGGAGGGCAGCUUUGUUUGCCACCGAAUUCGAGAGCUUUAAGGAUGCUCAAGAAUUCGUGGGCGAUUUUCGCGAGUGCCGUGGCUCGGUUGCUACCCUCUACAAGUCACAGAACGAGGACUUCUCUUUUCCUGCCGGGGUCGCUGAGAUGUCGGGUCUUAUGAACGGGUGUGCCCAUGCCGAAUCCUUGGUUCCUCCGAUCGAAGGAAGGGUCCGACAGCUUUGGGAUUCCAUUGAGGUCUCGGAGGACACGGCGGAAGCGGGAACCGGUGUUGGUGAUGAAGGUGCCGGAGUCGCGGACGGAGAGGUGGAUCAGCCCGCGAGCUCGUUCGGGAUCUCCAUGUCCGGGUUCCUCGACUUCGAGCUUUGAGGAUUGUUGGGAUUAUUUCCCUUAGUUUUAUUUUGAGGUUUGAUGUAUCUAGGCCGAGUGUGGCCGUAUUUGAUUUAUGUAUGUUAUGGCCUUGUGAGGCUAUGUGAACUAUGUGUUUGAGACCGGCCGUUUGGUGGCUUUGGGUCCUAGCCGUUUUUUGCGGCUUUUAUAUAUAUGAUGAAUGAUUGACAUUCUGUGCGUUUUAGUUUAUACUUCUGCCAAGUGUGAGGGAAAGAUACGAGUAUUCACUUCGUAUCUUAACUCUUAGUUUAUCGUCUUGUUCGUUUGCUCUUACUGAACGAGAGCGUUCAGAAACGUUUAGGAGUUUCGCGAAGUUUCGUGAGCGUAUUAGAUAUUGACGAUUGGACAUGUUUUUAAGAUCUCGUAUCAUGUCUUGAGAUGUUAGUGGACCAGUAGGACUGGGUUUAGGGCAAGACCUAGGUUUACUUUCGGCUCUAAGGCUGUGCGACGACUGAUCGGCUCUCGUUUUGCCUGUGGGCGAUUUCCACCUGGUUUUUUCCGAUUUAAAGUCCACGACUUGGCGCCGGCUUAUAUGUCUUGUAUGGAACGAACCGAGCACUCUCCAGAGACCGUCUGUAGUGCUGACCAAAAUUUCAGAUUUCUUGUAUAGCGCGCUAUGGUAUCCUCGUCGGAUGUAAGGGAACCUUUUCUUUUACGAAAGGUUAGACUACAAGUUCUUUUUUUAGAACGUUUUGGGUUUGUCCGUCGGGGCCAAUCGACGGGCAAUUUGUUUUUAUUUUUACAGUCGCGGACGGACCGUGUGUUUGGAUAAAUUUCUCUCGAAAGUAUUUACGACGUCUCGCUUUUUCCGAAAGGUAUAUCCUUUGUAGUGAGAAAGUUACGAUCUUCGUUUUUUAGAGAAGAUGUAUUUGGUCUUGCUUAACCAUUGAUACGCAGUGAUUGUUGUUUAAGUUAAUUCCCAUCCAAAUACUGCUUGAAAGGUAUGCGUAUUUGGAGACCCUUGUCUUGGGUGUUUCUCAGGUUAAUCUCCGAUUGUUGUAGCUUAUUGCAAGUGAAUCGGGAGACCGAAAUAAAAUGAGUUUUAUUGGAAAAGUUUCGAAAAUAUCGAGUACAUGUGUUGGAUAUUCCGAACUUUGUGGGAGUAUACGAGUAUACGUACCCACUCCCCCCUUUUUGGAGAGGGGGAUAGCUGAACUUGCCAAUAGGACAAGCUGCCUACGUACCUCUUUCGAGGAUCAAGCCAUUUCGUAGUUCUGCUUUGUUGUUGCGGGCGUUCCUACUCGUUGGAUAAGACCGUUUCUGUUACUUCGGCCGUUGAGGCUUUAGUUAAAUCAACGGCCAUUUCGUGAGUCGGGUUUUCCGCUGGUAGGGCGAUGGACUCCAGGAGCCGUUGCCUGGGCGAGUGAUUUCGAAUCGCUCUUUGUGGAACCUUCGGGAGUACUCUGAGUUUUCUCGACUCGCUUCGGGCUAACCGCAGGGGUGUUCCGAGUUUGUCGUAGCUUAUGCUCGGCCAAAAAGCAGAGCCUAGAUUGUUUCUGGCAUCCCCAGAUUACUGCUGUUCCGUUUGCCGUUGGGAACUUGAUGCUAAGGUGGUAAGUCGACGGUACCACCUUCAUUGCGUUGAUCCAUGGGGUCCCCAUGAUAACAUUAUAUAUGGCCGGGUUAUCGACUACGGCGAAGUCAAUGAUUUACAUGACUUCCCUUGCCAUGACCAGAAGUUUGAUUGAUCCGAGGGUAAUUGAUGUUGUGCCCGAAAAACCGGUCAGUGGUUUUGGUUCUGGGACAACUUCCCCGAGUUCGAUGUUCAUUCUCCGGAGAAUGUCGCGGAAAAUGACGUUGACCGUGCUGCCUGUGUCAAUGAGGAUUCUUCCCUCUUCGAGGUCUCGAAUCACCAAGUCGAUGACCAGCGGGUCGUAGUGAGGUUUAUCGAGUCCGACGGUUUCCUCCUCCUCGAAAACAAUCGUAUCGUUUGGAGCAUUGUCGGUCAGGGACCGAGUCGUCUAGUUAGAACUUGUUUCCGCCUUUCUUCCGUAGGCUUUGAUGGAUGAAACAAAGUCGCGAUAGAAUUGCGAUUCUCCGAUGAUCAUGUUUAUCUUCCGGCGGGUACUAUUGUCUCCAAGGUCAUCAUGCCUUCUUCCGCGUUUCUCGCCAGACUGGUUUGUGCGUGCGUCCCUCUCGGGAGACUCUUAUCAGUCCUGGGAUGGCGGUCGGAAUCCAGGAUGAGGUCUUUUAUGCUAGUGACCUUCGAGAGGUUGCCAGCGAGGAGUUUUGCGGUUAGCCUUGCGCCGAGAACUUUGCAGUUCGUAGUGGAAUGACCUUUGGUCUGGUGGAACUCGCAGUAGGAGUUAUCCUUAUACUGGUUCCUAGACCAGGUGUUUCCGGAGGUCUUCCAUUGUUCGGAAUUGAUAGUGUAGUUGUGCUCGCCCUGGACGUCUUCUCCCUCGUGGUGGACAUACUUGUCGUUUCGAGAGCUUUUCUUUUUUUGUGGGCGUCUUCUGCGGGUUGUACUUCUGGGAGAAGAUUUUCAUCUCCUUUUCCAUUACGAUGAAGUCCGUUGCCUUAUGAAGAGCAUCCUGAAUCGUUCUCGGUUUUUCGAGGGAUACCCAUUGCCGGAAUUUUGACCGGUACCAGAGAGUUUUCUUCAGAGCAUCGAUCGCCACUUUAUCGCUGAUCCCGGUGACUCUUGCCAUUACUAGCUUGUAUCUGUUCAUGAACACGCGAAGUGGCUCGUCUUCUCUUUGAGACAGGCUCCAGAGAUCGACGUCCGAGGUUUCUCUGUCCAUGAACAUGGAAUACUACUUGAGAAACUCUGAAGCAAGUUGGCGGAAACUUCUGAUGGAAUUUUGUUUUAGGCGAGAAAACCAUUCGAGCGCGGAUCCUUUGAGGUUUUCGACAAAGAGGAGGCAGUAGCCAGCGUCUCGUUCGCGUUCCUUGAGUUUGCACCUCCCCAUCGCGAUCUGGAAAGACUGCAGGCGCGCUUUCGGGUCAGUGGUGCAAUCGUAGAUGGGAAUUUUGAUCUUCCCUGGGUCCGAGACGUUGGUCUCAGUAAUCCAGGCAGUGGACGGGGUUUUACGUGCCUCCUGGGGAAGUCAGUCGAUCGCGGGCGCAGCGCUUGUCGCGUGGUGGAUUUGUGAUUUCACCGCUUUCACCUCCGAUGCGGUUUUCGCGAUGUACUCGCGGAGAUCGUGGAUUUCAUCAGGAUUUCUGGCAGCCUUGCGAGCUUGUCUGCGUUGGCCGCGGUGGAUCCUGGCCUACUUUUCGGCCAGGUCCUCCUGUUCUACCCAAUAAAGGUUUUCUUCUUCCUUGGUCAUGGGUCUUUUGAAGGACACGUCCUGCCGAGCGGACUGGCUUCGCGUUCUUCUUAGGUGGAUGUCAGCACCGUCGUCCGAGUGAUCGGACUGGUCGUUUAUACCUAGGUCGAUGCGCUCAAUUUCUUCUCCUUCGUUGCUUUCGGUAGGAGGUGAAAGGUUCUCCGCAGUUGGCUGUGCACCUGGCUGGAGCGUUUUAUCAGGGUUUUAGCAUGAGGAAGCCUUGUCCGUGUGUGCAGUUCGAUUGCCCGGAGUUUCGAAAUCAAGUCUUCUACCGCUGCGGGCUUUUUUGGUCCCGCGCGGGGCUUUGCUCCUUGCCUUCGCCGUUAGGGUUUCCACCUGUUUUGUGAGAGAGGCCACGAGUUUUCCUUGUUCGUCCGACUUUUUUUGAGCGGAGGCGAACAUUUCCUUCAUCCGGUCUAGUAUCGCGGUGUCGGCAGUGACCGUUGAUACGUUUCUAGCUGGAGUUUUAUCAGCGUUGGCAUCGACGGGAGUCCCGUCGUGCGUUUGCGGGUCUUUGUCAGCGUUGGUCGUCAUAUCAGACUGAGCGUGUGUGGUUGCGAGAGAGAUAGAUCCGUACCCCCCUCCUCCUAGCGCCAAACUGUGGGAACCGAAAUUCACACCGUCGAGUUUUGUUAAUCGGAGGAAAGCCAAGUUAACCUAGCCUUCCCUGAAGGUCUCGGUUAUCUGCUGGGCCACGCACAACACAAUCAAUAUGAAAGAUUCGAAAGUAAUAAAUCGUAAAAGAGCGAAAAGAGAACAAAGAGGUCUUAUUUCCGAAUUCGCGUUUGAGUGUGAACAACAGGUAAGAUCCUAGGCCACGAGAGCUGUCGGUAUGUUCGCUAGUCUAGCCACCUAAGUUCUAACCUAGUCGAGUCGCAGUUCGAUAGUAAAAACGGAAAAAUGCCUAAAUUGCUCUAAGUAUUAAGUUUGCUCUGGUCCCUCCUCUCUUCGUUCUAGGUCCUCCUUAUAUACUCCUCCUUAGGUCGGUUUCCUUCUUCUUGGGCCGGAUUUGUCGCGAAGCGGGUUUUUCCAUAUUUCCUUCUUCUUUGUGAUUAUCUUCGGAAAUUUGACAUUUAUCUCUUCCCGCGGAUGAGUUAAACCGUCAUACCAGUCUUUGGGUUCAAGUCUUUUGGGACCAUAGAUGGGCCGUUGUCCGCAGUUCAGACCCUCUUUGGGCCGUAUCGAGACUUAAGCGUUUUUACAAUUUUACUCGCGAAGUAGCUGUCGGUAUAGGCAUGGUUCUUCCAACAGAACCCUGUUUCUUCGCAUAUCCGAGGCAGCUGGUGUUAAGUUAACUGUAACCUGCUCUACUACGAAGAAUAGGAAACCGUUCGAGAGACAUAACCUUCCCAACUUCCCAAAUAUUUUUGACAAUAUUUUUUAGACGGAACAUUGGUGUCGUAUCCACGGACCCGAAGACUGAGUUACGGAAACUUCGGACGAAGAUGCAUGGUUAUGAGAUGGGACCGGGUUCGGAAUGGUCCACGGAGAAUUGGCCGCGCUCGCCGGGCGAGCUGGCUCGUGUCACGGCCGAGCUCGCCGGCGAGUCAACAGGCAACACGGCCGUGCUUGCCGGACGAGCUGGCUCGUGUCGCGUCCGGUUUCGCCGGCGAGUCGACCGGCAACACUGUCGUGCUCGCCGGGCGAGCUGGCUCGUGUCAUGGUCGAGCUCGCCGGGCGAUCCGUUUCGGCUGUUCGUUUUCUCGGCUUUUGAAGUUUUGAUCGAGAUUCGGUUUUUCUGAGAACUUUCGGACAUCGAUUCCGUCGUGACCGAUUUUGACCCCAACAUGAUAUUUAAAGCCUUGGCCAAAUGUAGAAGCUUGACCUAGCUUAAAUCUUAAUCAAAUGCAAAGUCUAAAUUAUCUUGGCCAACCUUUAAAAGACCUUGACCGAAGGUAAGAGCUUGGCCAAAUAUGAAAUUUAGUCAAACUAAUAGAAUCUCUUGGCCAAAGCAUUUUGGUAAAAUCAUCUUGGCCGAAUCCCUUUGCCAAAAUUCCUUGGCCAAUGUCUUUUGAAUAAUCUAUCUUGGCCGAAUUUAAAUUCCUAUUAAUCUAAUCAGACUUAAUUUAUUUAUGGCUAUUUGUUGCACACUUUGAUUUAUUUAAUGCAUUAUGUUUUCAAAAUUAUUGUCUAAGGGAACAAAAUUUGAUAUUAAAUUACCUAAGUUUGGGAUUCAAUACGGGUUUAAUGAACAUUAAGUGUUAUUAUCUCGAGGGAGAGAAUCAGAUAAUCCCUAAAUAAGUUAAGCAUCCAAGACAACAAUAGCCCAAAUAGUUUUCGGCCAAAAUCAAAUCUGAAAAUGAAAUUGCACAAUAGAAAGAUUAUAUGGAGAUUAAUGAUUGGCAAACCGGUUAUGCCAUUCCGGUUAAGUAUGCGACAUUCUAUUGAAUGGUCUAAGAUAUGAUGCCCCUUUGAAUAAGGGAAUUGAUAAUAUGAGUAUUCACCAUGAUAUUUCGAAAAUAAGCAAGGAAUUUCGUGGGCUUGAUCACCCACGGAUGGACUGAUCAUCCAUCAUGUGUGACGACAUAUGGUUGUACAUAUCCUUGUCAAAAUCUGCAAUAAGUUUGCAAGAGUAAUUGGUGAUACCGGUAGAUUUAUGAAUCCUUAUAAGUUGUAGCAAAAUUUGUUCGCAUAAUGCCAAAGAACAAAUAGAGACUCUCCCAUGAAUUUGAUAAAGGGUCAAGAAUUAAUGUUCCCAUAUAGAGAACUUAAAUAAGUUUCCACCACAAAGUUAUAAGAUGAGAUCUGAAAUUGAAUUAAGUGAAUACGUUGGAUAUAAAUCUCCAUAAGAAUACAUAAGGCCACGAGAGAUAUGAUUAAGGCUAAGCCAUGGAUUAGAUAAAUCCGUAUAUCCAACAUCAUGGUGAGAAAUAAUAAGCUGGUAAACGAUUUCGAGAAUGAAUAAUGAUCUUCAAAUAUGAAUAUAGAAUAAGAGUCCAAAGAAUGAAUCAUUCUCAGAACUUAAACAAGUCAUUUGCCAGACAUGUUUGAUGACCCAAACUGAAAUAUACCAGCGGGUUGUGCUCUAAUAAAAUUGAUAUUGGACUUAGUUAAGAUAAGACGGUUCCAUACAUAUAUUACUUGAAAAUGAGAAGAGCAUAAACCUUAGACAUGACCAUGAAUAAAUAUCAGGUACCUGAAAAUAAUAAGAUCUAAAUGCAUUAUGUCAUGUCUGGAUUAUAAAUGGAACCGGUAAAAUAAUAUCGACGUCGAUGAUGAUAUAAUAUUUGAAUACAAAAGCGCUUGACAAAAGCGAGGAUCAUGAAACCAACGUCUAUCAUAGAGUGCACUCAGAGAAAUUGAUUAAGCAAUUUGAUAAUGCUAUAAGACGUGGUAUAUGAAAUCUCUUAAGAGAAGAGAUGUAGUCAAACCAGUUGGACAUAAGUAAGUCUUUGGUGAGAAAACAUAAUAAGAAUUGCGAAAUUGCAUAAGGUUCUCACAAAGACCUGGAAUCAAUUAUAAAUGAGACAUACUCCUAUGUGGUGGAUGCAAUGAUAUUCUGAUUCUUUAUAAGUUUGGAAAAUAUAAUUACUAAGGCGUUACUGACAUCCAGAGAUAUACUCAACAGGGGGAGUAAUACGUGUUGUACUCUUUUUCCUUCACCAUGGUUUUAUCCCAUUGGGUUUUCCUGGUAAGGUUUUAAUGAGGCAACAUCCAAAGCGUAUUACAAACCACUUCGGAGAUGGUCUUCCAAGGGGGAGUGUUAUAAACCAAGGUUUGGUGGAAGCCCCAUAUUCGAAGACCCAUAUUCUUAUGUCUUUGUAUUUCCUACCCCAUAUUGUAUUAGAGUUUCAUACUUACGUAAUUCCUUAUAUAAAGGGUUCCUUAUUGUCUAAUAAAGAGAGAGAAUUUCCCAUUAUUUUCAAAACAGUAUCUCUUUAUCUUGGUUACUGUAAUCCUUUUUUUGC